AUUCUAAUGCCACAAGUCAGCAGUACUUUAUCCAGAUUUAUCCAGACUUGGAGCGCCUGCUGUGACUGGCCUUGGCCAUCUAUACGCUGCAAAGCAAGGCUGCUUCUACCAGGGGUCCAGGUGACUAGGCUGAAUGAAGUGAGUGGAUAUUUCUUACACCAAGUACGGUCUGUAGUGGGUAGUAACCAGGUGUUCCCAGAGCACUUCACCAGGCUUGUGGGGGAGAGGAGAGAGGGGAGAGACUUCCUAAGGUGAAGGGAUAUCUAAGCAGGGUUCUGACAAUGAGCGGGGAGCCACCAAUGGGUGGGUAGAAGAUUUGGGCAUAGUUUGUCUUUUGAUAAUUUUAUUCCUUCAGCUAAUUGAAGAGAAUUAAGGAAGCCUUGAGACCAUGUUUGUUGUUAUUUUUAAUGGACACUGCUCUUCAAAUAUAAAUCUGGAUGUGUUCUUGAGAAACCAUUUAUCUUAACUCCCUUCUCACUACCACCUUUAGGCAUAGUUUAUGGUAAUUUUAAUUCUCUUAAUCCAUUUUUCUGUUUGUUCUCUGUUUGAAUGGGAGCAUACAGAGAUUAGUAAUAAACAACAAAUAACAGCUUUAAAAGCAAUAUCACUAACUGAAUUUUAAAUUAUUCUAAAUGGUGGAAUUCACAUAAUGAAGUAUAGUCUGCUGUCUAUGUAGGUGUAAGCCAAUUCUGCAGAAAUAGUCUCCUGAAAGACGUAGAGUGGGCUACUCAUUCACAAGUGUGAGACUGCUGAAAAAGAUUGGGUGGAAACCAGAAGCUUCUAGGAGUCCCCUCAUAGCCAAAAAUAAAGUUUCCUCCUGGGCAAGCUGCCCAAGCUUCUGGAUGAGUUGUGGUGAAAUCAUUAAUGGUUGGGGUUUUCUGGCCAGUGAGGCAGGGAUCCCACCAUCUUUCCGAGUGUGUUUCUAGAGUUCUCUACUGUGUGUGUUUGUCUAGAGGGAAAAAAAAACCUGUUUUUCUUUUUUCCUUGUGUUCGGUUGCUGUUGUAUACAUACGUGUUCAUUUUAUUUCUUCCCUCAAAGAUUGUCAUCACUCUGCUUUUUCUUUUAUUUAUUGCUUCUCCUUUUGUACCAUUUUGAUCAGAAAGAGACUUUGUCAAUCUUUUAGUUCAAUUACUUGUUCUUGGGUCGUGAGUAGUGAAAUGAUAUACCCAAGACUGUAGAACCAUUGCAGAAACUUGGGGCUCCUGGCUCCCAGUCCAGCAAUGUUCUCAUCAUUUUCUCUUCAUUGUGUGCUUCAAGAGUUUGUCCCUUUCUCCUCUCGUCAUGCUUUCUUAUUUUAAUUCCCCUUCAGGCACUAUUGCAUUUCAGUUCAAAGCUCUUUCCUCAGAGAAUUCAGGGUUUUGGUGGCCAUUCAGGCUGACUGGUGGCUUCACCUAGGGCAGUAUUUCCCAAACUUGGGAAUAUAGACAGCCCUUUUCAUGGAAAAAAAAUUCUCAUAGACUUCAGGUUUUUUUACUUGAUUAAUUCUUUUACUCUGUAAUUUUACUGAAAUAUUUACAGAUCAAAGUUAGGUACCAACCAAAACUCGUUGCUGUUGAGUCGAUUCCAACUCAUAGUGACCCUGUAGGACAGAGUAGAACUGCCUCAGGGUUUCCAGGGAGCAACUGGUGGAUUUAAACUGCCGACCUUUUUAAUCUGAUGGAGUUUGGUUUUGCUUAUGUUCUAUAUUUAGUCUGGUCCAGUGUUUUUACAUCAAUUCUAAUUCAAAGAAUGCUGGUUUUCAUAUAUAUUUUUUUUUUGUACAAAACAAGCGUUAAGACUUUGAUUGCAAGUUGAGAAUGAUCAAGCCUCACUCAUACUUACUCAGACUACCAGCAAACAAUUUUGGAGUGCCAGUUUAAUGAAGGGGUCGCUUAACUAAAAUUAAAAAUUUAGCAAUUCAUUGUUAUUUAAUCUGUUCAGAUGACUAAUCUGCUAAAACUAGAGUAAAAACAGAAAAUUUCUUCUUCACUUUCUACUACUACCUAUGUAGUAGGAUUUAACCCUGUAUGCUGAUAAAUGAACUGUUCCAAGGACAGGGAAUCUUCAGCACUUCCAUCCCGUAGUGAGCAGAACUCAGUGCUCUGCUGCCAGGAACUUAAUGAGUUUAGCAUGCCUUGAGCUGUGCAAAGCUUUCUUUUAUCUGUUCAAAUUACUGGAAGCCUGCUUUCUCGCAACGCAUGCUGACGUCCUUUGCCAUGUACAGGCAUGAUCAUGAAUACAAGGGCCGGCCCCGAAAUUGCACUGUAGAAUAUGUACAAUGAACCAGCAUCAUUUUUUAAUGAAAUGGAAACAACAUUAAAAUUUUUUUUCGCUGAUAAAAGGGCCACAUAAACCAGAGACUUCAUCAGCCUGAGACCAGAAGAACUAGAUGGUGCCCGGCUACCACCAAUGACCGCCCUGACAGGGAACACAACAUGAGAGGGUCCAAGCCUGGUAAGAAUGUCCAACUACAGGAGAAUGAAAUCAGAGGACUGUGCUUAAAGUCUCGGGAGAUCUUUCUCAGUCAGCCUAUCCUACUAGAACUUGAAGCACCACUCAAAAUAUGUGGUGACAUCCAUGGGCAAUACUAUGAUUUGCUUCGACUUUUUGAGUACGGUGGUUUCCCACCAGAAAGCAACUACCUGUUUCUUGGGGACUAUGUGGACAGGGGGAAGCAGUCAUUGGAGACUAUCUGCCUCUUACUGGCCUACAAAAUCAAAUAUCCCGAGAACUUUUUUCUUCUCAGAGGGAACCAUGAAUGUGCCAGCAUCAAUAGAAUUUAUGGAUUUUAUGAUGAAUGUAAAAGAAGAUACAACAUUAAACUCUGGAAAACGUUCACAGACUGCUUUAACUGUUUGCCGAUAGCCGCCAUCGUGGAUGAGAAGAUAUUCUGCUGUCAUGGAGGUUUAUCACCAGAUCUUCAAUCUAUGGAGCAGAUUCGGCGAAUUAUGCGACCAACUGAUGUACCAGAUCAAGGUCUUCUUUGUGAUCUUUUGUGGUCUGACCCCGAUAAAGAUGUCUUAGGCUGGGGUGAAAAUGACAGAGGAGUGUCCUUCACAUUUGGUGCAGAAGUGGUUGCAAAAUUUCUCCAUAAGCAUGAUUUGGAUCUUAUAUGUAGAGCCCAUCAGGUGGUUGAAGAUGGAUAUGAAUUUUUUGCCAAGAGGCAGUUGGUCACUCUGUUUUCUGCACCCAAUUAUUGUGGAGAAUUUGACAAUGCAGGUGCCAUGAUGAGUGUGGAUGAAACGCUAAUGUGUUCCUUUCAGAUUUUAAAGCCUGCAGAGAAAAAGAAGCCGAAUGCCACUAGACCCGUAACACCACCAAGGGGUAUGAUCACAAAGCAAGCAAAGAAAUAGAUGUCAUUUUGACACUGCCUAGUUGGGACUUGUAACAUGUAGUAUAUAACUUUCGUUUUUAAAACUGUAAUGUGUACUGGUCAGCUUGCUCAAAUAGAACUGUGUUUGUGGGCCCUGCUCCAUAUUUGAUUUACUGAAUAGCAUUUGCUGGUUGUAACAGCAAAUGAAAGACUCUCUCCACUCCCAAGAAAAGUGUUUUGUUUUUUAAUUCUCUAUUCCUUUUGCAAACAACUUUUAAUGAUGGUGUUAAAGCUGUAUACCUCAGGACAGUUUAUCCUGUCUAAGGGUUGCAUCAGGCCUGAACCCGUCCAUUCAGAAAGCUUCAAAUUAUAGAAACAAUACAGUUCUAUACGAGUGACCGAUUAUGCUUUCUUUGGCCUACGUUCUUUAUUCUGCGGUGAAGUUGAGGCUUAUAAGUCAGAACAAAGGAACUAACUUACUGUCCACCAGUUUAUACAAAACUCACAGUAUCUAUGACUUUUUUAAACUAAGAUCUGUUAAAAAGAAAUGUUUCAACAGAUGACCGUGUAUAAUACCAUGUGGUGAAAAUGAAUUCAGACUUAUUAAAUGAAGAACUUGUUAAAUCCUCUCAGUGUCUGUCUAUCAGCACAAUACACACAGGAGAACUGUUGAUGGCAUAUUGAAUAGAUUUUAAUGAAUAAAUUGCUCUGGAAACCUCACAGUCUCAAUUUGGAUUUGUCUUCCUUCAGUCUUGUGUUCCAGAGGUGGAUUACAACGUGGAUGCUCAUAUUCUGAGCUGUAACCUGGAAAUAACUAAAUUUCUGGAAGUUUAGAAUAGAGUGAUGAGAUUGAACUAUGCUGUUGUGGACAAGACCUACUAUUAGGGGAGGAGGGAUUUGUUUAGCUGUGAUCUGUCCAAAUCCUUGUGACAUAAUCUGUAUCUGUGCUGUUUCCUUACUGUCUGGGUUCAGUUGAACGUGGCAGUAAAGAAGCUGCCUUGUUUAUUAGCCUUUAUUACACUCACUUGGCCCUCAGUGUUUUCACACACAGUUCUUGGAUCUCUUUCCCUUACCAAAUUCCAGUGGAACACAGUGUUGUGCUGUAUUACGUUUGUCACAAGUGUGUUGAAUGCAUAUUAAUCUCUCAGAGUACAUUAAAAGUGGGUGAAGAGUGUGUCAUUUGAAAAGUAUUUCCUUCUGUUAAAAACUGAUUUCCCUUGGGGUAUUGGGAGAGGGCCUUCUAGGGAGGAAAUGUUUGGAAAGACAGUGGGAUGUGAGGACAGAGCGCCAGGGCCCAGCCCCAGUCUGCACUGACAUGCACUCAUCAGAGGCCUUGGCCUGCCUUUCUGACCCUCAGUAUGCUCCUCUUUGAGUGAGGGAGGGUGGACCUCAUGGCCUCUGGAGCCUUCCUACUCCACUUUCUGUGACAUACUCAGACUUGCAGUUAUUUUACUUUUCAGUAAUAUUCUCCCAGACUCCUUUGACUACAGGAAGAAAAAGAUAGACAAUAAUAGAUUGUGUCAUAGGCAAGCUUUGUUCGUCUUUAAUCCAUGCCUGGACAUGAUCAAUUGUGUCAGAGAGAACAUAGGCAUAUUGCACCGGUUAAGUAGAGAGCAAAAUUGAUCUUUGGUUUUAGGGUGGAGAUCUUAAGAGAGACCCCAGAAUUUUGAAAUCAGCAUGUGAAAACAGAACGGGAGUUCUUAUAUAUCUCAGUCUACACUCAUCUUCUUUUCCUCAUUCUUACCUAAGUGUGCACUGAGGCCCCGUCUGCCUUUAUAACCUAGUGGUCACACACACUUGGUUCAACUCCUGGCUCUGCUCCUAGCUUAGUGAUUGGGGUGAGUGGCUUGAACUCUGAGCCAAGUUGUCCCUAGCUGUAAGACAGGGACAAUAGUAUUUGCUUCAUAUUAUGAAGCUUGAAUGAAAGAAUAUGAUGUCUUCAGAAGAAUAAUUGACCCAUAAUUAAUAAUAGUAAGUGCUAUUAACUGCCUUAAUUCCAGUUCUGUGUGUUUGUCUAUCUCAGCUGGCUGAGUUUUAAGUGGCACCUGUCCCUUAUGCCCUGAUACUGAGCGGUGGAUAGCUAAGCAUUUCUGAGCAUUUACUGCAUACAGAACACCAUUAUAGAUGUUUUCGGCAGAUAGGAAAGAAAGAACUAGGAAACAUAAAGUUGUUGCAGUAAUUAUUGUGACAGUUUAAAUUCUGGUUUUCUUAUACAUGAAUUAUUUCUAUCACAGUACCAUAAUAAAACCAUAGAGUAAGGUGACUGCCACCUUAUGUAUCUAAGUAAUUUAUUUAACAUAGUUGAAGCCUAUCCAUUGGAAUUACUUCUUUGGCCCAUUUGACUAGGCCGGCCCUCAUCUAACUGCUGUGGACAGCACAGAAGUGCUGUGACUUAAGAGUAGAGGCUUCUCAAGUAUCAUACAUAUAACUGGAAUAGGUGAUGCGGGGACUAGGAGCAAAAUAUUAAGUGCUGAGCCAUGAAGAAGAUACAGGGCUUAGACUGAUAGGAGAAAUCAAGUUUCCCAAUGUGGGACUGUGAUUGGAGGUUGAAAAGGCACUUGGUUCUUUGGGAAGAGAA